rnacentral:rRNA from 1 species
UGGGGAAUAUUGGACAAUGGGCGAAAGCCUGAUCCAGCCAUGCCGCGUGUGUGAAGAAGGUCUUCGGAUUGUAAAGCACUUUAAGUUGGGAGGAAGGGCAGUAAGUUAAUACCUUGCUGUUUUGACGUUACCAACAGAAUAAGCACCGGCUAACUUCGUGCCAGCAGCCGCGGUAAUACGAAGGGUGCAAGCGUUAAUCGGAAUUACUGGGCGUAAAGCGCGCGUAGGUGGUUCAGCAAGUUGGAUGUGAAAUCCCCGGGCUCAACCUGGGAACUGCAUCCAAAACUACUGAGCUAGAGUACGGUAGAGGGUGGUGGAAUUUCCUGUGUAGCGGUGAAAUGCGUAGAUAUAGGAAGGAACACCAGUGGCGAAGGCGACCACCUGGACUGAUACUGACACUGAGGUGCGAAAGCGUGGGGAUCAAACAGGAUUAGAUACCCUGGUAGUCCACGCUGUAAACGAUGAAUACUAGGUGUCGGGGAGCAAAGCUUCUCGGUGCCGUCGCAAACGCAAUAAGUAUUCCACCUGGGGGAGUACGUUCGCAAGAAUG